CAGCCAGGAGUCAGCUCUCGGGCCAGCUCCCGGCUUCCCAUCUGCUGCCCCACCUUCUCUGGGUGCUGGUUGCCGAGAUGCUGAAAGAGGCGCUUGUCCCCCUGAUUGAUCGGCUCCAGGAGGUGCGGCAGCUGGUGCAUGUCUGUGGGCGAGCUCACUGCCAGGAUGCUGUGUGCUGGCUACCCGCAUGGGCAGAUUGGUGCCUGCCAGGCAGGAAAGCCAACUGGAAUGGAGCCGAGCUGCUGCUGGAGCAGUGCCAGGCCUUGCUCUGCCUUGCAGGGCGACAGCGGGGGCCCCCUCGUUUGCCGGGAUGGAUCUGCGUGGUGCUUAGUAGGCAUUGCGAGCUGGGGCCAGGGCUGCGGGGAGACCAACUGCCCAGGGGGUCAGACCGAUCUGGCCCAGCUGCUGCCCUGGAUUUAUCACGGCGCUGAGAACUAAGAUCUACUAGAAGCAAAGGAAGGAGAUGAUACCUCCAGGAGCAGACGUUCAUGAAGUAUGCCUGGACUGUUUGUCACUUACAAUUGCAUCUGUACCCCCGACAGAGGCCUCACAUGACACGGGGAUGUAGCACUGACAGAACCCAGUCUGUGCAGUAAGUAAGUAAUGCGACCUGCUCAUUAAAGGGUCAAAUUGAGGAAGAAGUGCUUAAUAAGGAAGAUAGAAAGCAGGAGAGCAGCAUGUAUGGUCAAGCAUUAGCUCCAUCAACCCUGUGUGUGCUGGGUGCUAAUAAGUGCUGGAAAGAGGAGGGGGAGUGCUUGUAAAAAAAUGCU